rnacentral:rRNA from 1 species
AGUGAACGCUGGCGGUAGGCCUAACACAUGCAAGUCGAACGGCAGCACAGUAAGAGCUUGCUCUUACGGGUGGCGAGUGGCGGACGGGUGAGGAAUACAUCGGAAUCUACUUUUUCGUGGGGGAUAACGUAGGGAAACUUACGCUAAUACCGCAUACGACCUACGGGUGAAAGCAGGGGAUUUUCGGACCUUGCGCGAUUGAAUGAGCCGAUGUCGGAUUAGCUAGUUGGCGGGGUAAAGGCCCACCAAGGCGACGAUCCGUAGCUGGUCUGAGAGGAUGAUCCGCCACACUGGAACUGAGACACGGUCCAGACUCCUACGGGAGGCAGCAGUGGGGAAUAUUGGACAAUGGGCGCAAGCCUGAUCCAGCCAUACCGCGUGGGUGAAGAAGGCCUUCGGGUUGUAAAGCCCUUUUGUUGGGAAAGAAAAGCAGCAGGUUAAUACCCCGCUGUUCUGACGGUACCCAAAGAAUAAGCACCGGCUAACUUCGUG